CAUACCUUUGGUAAAGCAAUGUGGCCUCUUUAAUUUGUUACUGCACUCAGAUACAGGAUAUUCCUUCCUGUACCCAAUUCUAUGCGUGGAGCAACUUUAGAAAGUUACUUUUCCUUUUCUGAGCAACUUUGUUUAUCUGAAAAGCAAAAGUAAUUAUGCUGACUUUGCACAAUGCUUUGGGACUCACUUGUGGAAGGGACCAUGCAAGAGUGAGGGGAAGGAAAGGCAGGCACCAUCUGAAAGCAGGUGACACAUAUCUAGUGCAAGCUUGGAUGCAAGAAAGCAACAUGGACAAUUCUACCCCAAGAUGCAUAGCUUGACAGAGAAUAGUCAGACUCUCAGAUCUGGUCCUUACUCUAUAAUAUUUACUUACACCAUCAAGAACAGGAAGAGAAGAGGACUUCACAUUGCUGAAAUUAAUAUCUGAUCUGCUUCAGAACCCUGGAGAUUCUGGUUCAAAAGAAGUUCAAAAAUAUUGUGUACAUUGAAGAAAAGAUUACUAUGAAGGGGAAGGAUUGGAAAGAACCCAUAUUUUUUGUUUUUGUUUACUUCUGAACAUGAAAAAGAUUAAUUUUACCUUGAGAAUUACAAUCAUUCCUGGUUAGUUGCCGUGCAAGGUCUUGUAGUCCCUUCAUCUCGCUAAUUUUUAUUUAUAAUUUUUAAUAUAAACUUACGGAAAGGUACUAGGAUAUAAUAAACUGAAAUCUCCAGGUUACUUAAAUGCUGCUUCUAUAUAUCUUGCCUUCACACUUCUAGUCAUGCUGUCAACUCUGUGAACUGGUACUGAAGUGAACAGGAUUUCAGAUAGUCUUCAGGAAACCACACUUUUAGAGUGCAAUAGACAUAAGUGAUAAAAUAUUACUCUAGGAGAGGAAAUCUAGAGAGAAUUGUGGAGCAAUUCCACUAUCUGGGUAAAGUACUUCUUAAUAUUUAGCACAAAAGUUCUCUUAGGUGCUGAUAUUAAUUGGCAUAUUGAUAGAUAUACUGUAAUUUGUGUUUUACAGAAACAUGCUCAUAUUAAUGGGUUAAUUCAGUGAAGAUUGGAAAGAAUGCUUCCCCCAACUCCCAAUAGAUUUCAGUUAAGGCUAAGACCAGACCUUCAAAAAUUAUCAGCACCUUAACAGUUUGGUUGUUAAAAAUUGUUGAGUUUUCUGAUGUUGGCUGUGGGAUUACUCCCACAGACAACACACAUAAGGAGCACUCAUUGAAACUGCUGACUCACUUCAGAGUGGAUAAUAAUUUAAGUGAAUUACCUUGAAUUAACUGAAACAGAUGUGUUCCUGGUCUUGGCAAAAUUAACCUGUAAAAAAUUAAAAUGAGUAAAUUACUAGUCAGCUAACUUGAUCUAUAAAUUUCUCUCUGGAGUGAUCUAAUGGAAGUUCUGGGUGCAGGUUUGGGCUGUAUGUUUAGCAGCUAAUUUGCAUUUUAGCUUGUAUUUGCCUUGCUAC